AUUUUAAUUGAGUUCACAAAUGUUCUGAACCGAGCCCCAUUCACAGCUGGCGGCCCCCCUCCAACAACAACACAUCUACCGAUUUCUCCAUCGCGCUGACAGCUACGUGCUGGGCCUGGGCCUGGGCCUGAACCCCAUCUCUCCCCUGUCCAUUCAGUAAGUGGAAUUGAAUGCCUAGUUGGUUAGUUAGUCGGAAAUCAAGGCAUUCGAUUCUUCGAUUAUUCAAUAUUUUCACAGUGCUUGUGGGAAAUUAAUACAUCAUCCGGCCCCCAGGCACCCCUUAGGCACCCAGUGGGUACCGCGUACUAUAACGUGCCCCCAUCUUCAGAUUUAUAAUUAAAGCUGCCUCAUACAGGUGUCUGUGUGUGUUUAUAGAGAGAUCAAAGAAUUAUUAAUAAGCCGAGGUACUUUUCACGGCAAGAUCUUUAGAAAAUUAUUCAAUUAUUCUCGAACGAAUUCUGAAGUGUCCUUAUGCAUGUAUACAUAUGUUCAUUAUUGUAGUUUCCAGUUUCAAGAUUUGAAUUAGGGCACAUUAUGAUCAAAUAUUCAAAGAUGAGCUGUAAUUCUCUUUCCGGAAUCCCAUUCAGAAUGCUGAUCCGGAAUGAAUCGUUUCGAAUUGCUUUCAAAGACUUGACCUAUCCUAAGAUUCUCAGAUACAUAUACAUACAUAUGUAUGUAUGUAGCACCCGCACGCACAAGGAAAUUUCCCAUUUUCCUUUCCAUUUUCACCUUCCCUUCCCUCUAUCUGGUUGGUUUCUUUACAGUUCUGUGAACACUUGCCCAGAAUCCUACCUAAGCCAUUCCGUCGGUCGGUCUGUCUGUCGGUUCCUCCUCUACCUGUGUCAAUGUCAAACUUCAGCGCUAAAUUGUCGCUUAUUAAAUGUCUUUCGGGGCGACAGAGACGCAGACGGAGACGAGCGAGCCACUUUAUCAAAGAGACAAAAGAAGCCGAGAAGAACAGAAGAGAAACUGAAAUUCCACGUAGCAGAGCGUUGCGGCCCAUUGUCGAAAAUUAUGACUUGUUUUGAGAUUUGGGAGUGCAAAUAGCUCACUUCCUGUCUGUCUCGCUCUCGCUCUCUGUCGCUGCCUCUCUGUCCCCCUACUGCUGUCCUGUCCUUCUUUUUCUCUUGUCUGUCUCUUGCGCAGACGCAAAAGCGCUCUGAUUGCUGUCGUCGUUGCUUAUGAUCCCUCUUCUUCCUCCUCUUCCUCCAUCUCUUCUUGUUGUUCUUGUUGUUGUCACUCUGCCCGCCGAUGUCUGGCUGAUAAGGAACGUACUGUUCGGAACGGUACGGUAUGCGGGGAACAUUUAACCUCUUUGUCUGCUCCUCCCCCUCCUUCGCUGCUGUUUCUGUUACUGAUGUCGGCGGUGCGAUAAGGCGGGGAGAGGGGAGAUCUCUACGUGCUACCGACAUGCAGCUCUUCCACUUCCACUCCAACUCUUAUUUGGAUUUAUACGCAGGGCAUGUUAAACAGGAGGGCUGGAAAGAUAGUGAGAGAGGAUCAAAGUGCGGAAAGUGUUGUCAGUGCGGAAAAGAGGCCGUGAUCUACUACAGGUUAUGUUAAGUAGAAAGUCAGGGGUGCCAAACACAUACGGACUGUGACUGCUACCGGGGGGCGUGGCACCACCAUUCAUGCUGUGCGAUCACAUUACGUCGUAAUGCGCUUCCGUUUUCUUCUGUCCGCUCCUCCCCUCACCCACCUACUUUCGGUGCUAAUGUGAGGCUGCGCAAAGGCGCCGCCACCGCCACCGCCACCGCCACCAUUCAUAUUGAUUUGGUAAGUCGGGGAGGACCAGUCCCAAUCUUCAUUCCGAACUCAGGCCAAUCCAAAUCCCAGCCUGCAAUUACACUUCCGCCCAAGAAAGAAACAAGGAAAGACGUACACAAAAAACCGACAACGAAACGAAACUCGAAACCAACUUGCGAUCUCCAGAGCUCUCCGCCAUUCAGACUCUCUGUCUCUGUCUCUGUCUCUGAAUCUAAGGCUCAUUCACAGAUCGAGAGCCCAUUCCGUGGCCUAUUCAUUCAUUCAUUCAUGUUGAUUGCCACCUUUGGGCAGCCCUGCCUCUCCAUCAGCCUCUCCAAUCUCUCGGCCGCGCGCUGCCGUGGGGCAGCAGCAACAGACUCUUACUCUCUUGUGGCUUCAAUGAUUAGUCUGUGCUAAUGAACAGGCGGCGGCAGCGGCUACCUAGCGCGCAAAAAAAAACACCAAACACCGAAGAAACCGAAAAAAGCGACUUAACGGAGACCCCAAGACGGCAGCAGCAGGGCAGCAAGCAAACAGAAAUCAAAUCCAAUUUAUGUUUUCAACAUUAAUCAUAAUUUUUUUUUGUUUUUUUUUGGGGCCCUCUAUUCCGUGUAGCCGUAGCGUGAAAUAUUUUUAUGCGCCGUUUUUACGGUUCCAAAGAGCAGAAAAACUCGAAUUGGAAUCGGAAUUUGGAAUCUGUGGGGGGAAAAACUCAAUGGAUCUUCCGCAUGAGAAAAAGGUGUCAAUGUCUAAUUUUGUGAUGCAUUUUCUGUUUUCCUCAUUAUGAAAAUUAUAGAGUGGAUCAUCUGGGGGAGAACUGGAUCAGUGGAUCAUUAUUAAUGGUGUGCGAGAGAAUCGAUACGAUUGCUUUGGCCAUGAGAAAUCCCCACCAAAGAAAAUUGAAAGAUCUAAAGAAAUGAUUUCCAAUUUCAUAUUUCUUAUGUGGAGUAAAUUCAAGAUAAGUUUUAAGCAUGUUUUAUAUGGGAAAAAUCAACUUGUAUUCCUUGCUUAAUUAACAGAUCAGACAUUUUGAUAUUUCUGUAGUUUUAUCCCUGAUGUCUUGGGUCAUUCUAAGUACAGGUCAUUUCAUUUUAAGUCGGUAGCAGCACAACGGUGAUGCCAGUUACGAGAAGAAACGAGGAUAGAUCUGUUCUGUGGAGGAGAACCACUUGAAAAGCAAUUUUUGUUGAAAUUUAUUUUCCAUUUAUUGCUUUAUUUAUUCUUCUACCUUUUUACCCGACAGUGUGUGGCCCUGGACACCGGUUUGGGCCCUGAUUCUGAUUCUAGUUCUGCGUUCUAUCUGCUUAUGCGAUUAGUGAGGUCUAAAGGAGGAGCUCUCCCAUAAGAUGACGAUACUGUCGAUGAGGAUUGAGGAUGGGACUGCGACUGCCACGAUGACGAUGAUGAUGCUGCUCUUGCUCUCCUCUCGUUGUGUGUUUAUUAUUGUUUGGACCCAGAGACCUUUUUGUUUGUAUGCAUUUUCGAUGAAUAAAAAACGAAGACGACCACGAAGGGAAUCUGGUCUCAAUGGGCGCACAACAGCAUCCAUGGGUCGAGGCACAACAAUCGAAAGUAAUAAUGAAAUCCCAUCAACAGGCAGUAAAGAGAAUGAGAAGCAGGAACAACAAAAGAGAUGCGAGAUGCCCGGGGACAGGGACAGAGCCCUCUUCUGGCUAGUGCCCACCAUUCUCCCAUUCCCAUUCUUAUUUCCAAUUCCUUUUUCGGUUUUGCAGCAGAAUGAGAAUGAAGGAACGACGGACGUCUCGGACGACACUUGCCUUGAUUUUUAUUAUGGCUCUGGUCUCAGGGCUUUUCCUUCCCCUUACAUUUUUCUGCCUUUUGAUUUAUUGUUAGCCGGAAAGAGCGAGCCAUGUUCUGGCUCUAUGGGAUCUCUCUGGGAGUGCGAUCUCGGGUCGGCUUCGGCUUUUUCAAGUGAAAUUUCAAGAAAAGUUUCUAUUCUUGUAGACAGUUCAUUAGUGCCAUCAACAAGUUGGGUGGGGGACAUAAAGGAUGAUGGGACCUAACCCUACCCCAUGCUUCCUACACACCCUAGUUACCGCACCAACAACAACUACAACAGCUGGGAGGCAGCUUUCCAAUUGCAGGAGGAGGUUUGUGUCCCAGCUAAAGUCCGAUGUGCAACAUGCAACAUGCAACACUUGUUCGAUGACCCAGAAAGUAACGGCGAUUGACGACUGGUGGGGACAGUGGCCAUUCGCCAAACUGGUGAGCCGCCCACCCAAAAAAGGACAUAACCACAUGACUGUCAAUGCAGCGAGGAGGAGAAGGAGGGGAUGGGGGAUUGUUGUCAACUGGAAUCGAUCGAUAUGGCUCUGACAUUUAUGGACAGCGCUGACCAGAUGAACUACUUUCAAGCUACUUGCAACGCGAAGCAGGCAGUCAAUAUACCGUUAAAAAGACGCGA
rnacentral:sRNA from 1 species